rnacentral:lncRNA from 1 species
CCGUCAAGAACGCAUCCGGGUACAUGUAGCCAACCCUCCGGGGUAGCAACGGACAUCCACAUCACUUCCACGGGAAUCCUCUGACGAGCAUCACCAUAAACUAUCACCUAAUUUCCAGCUGUAACUUUCCCAGUGGUAUAUUCCUUCUUGGAGUUCGGCAGCCUCCGGUAUCCAACUUCCAUUUUUUCCCCCGUAGUCGAUUGGGUGUGCAACUUAACGAAACGUUCAGUUCUUCAAAUGUUAAGUUGAUUGUAUACCAUAGCACCGCUGCAACGAAAUCGUCAAACGUUUAUUUCCGCAUCUUUGAGUACUCACGUUUUCAAACUAGUGUUGUCCUUUACGUAGUCCCUCGCAACUUUACCGUUUUAGACCAUACGAAUGUACACUCCACUUCCCCUUGCCUUUGACAGACGGGGCAACAUUGUUCAGCAAAACAGCGGUGAAACGUUCACCGUCCGCCGACGAACCGACCUGUGUGCGGGGAUCUGCCUCCCCCGAGAAGCAUUCAGGAUGGUAAAACAGACGAAGCUUCCUACCGUCACGGACAAUCACCUCUGAGUUCUUUGCUACGCC